UCCGAACAUCAGGUACCAUUGCUAGAUGGUCACUUCGAUUAGUAUAGAAAUUGGUUCUUGUACUACCAGCUUAGGUUCGAACCUGCGGGGUCACACACAUUAGAGGUUCCUAUUUGAUCUGAUGGCUGGUGUAGAAUUCUAUGUGUCUGGGACUCUGUGAUCGAGAAUCAGGAUUCUCUGAUUAUGAGUUCCACACAUUAUGGGUACC
rnacentral:lncRNA from 1 species